AGAUAAUAGAUACCCUGGUAGUCCUGGCCUUAAACGAUGAUCACUAGGUGUAGGAGGCUUCGACCCCUUCUGCGCCGCCGCUAACGCAUUAAGUGAUCCGCCUGGGGAGUACGGCCGCAAGGUUAAAACUCAAAGGAAUUGACGGGGGCCCGCACAAGCAGUGGAGCAUGUGGUUUAAUUCGAUGCUACGCGAAAACCUUACCAGGGUUUGACAUCCCGGUGUAACCCCAUAGAAAUAUGGGGCCCCUUCGGGCGCCGGUGACAGGUGGUGCAUGGUUGUCGUCAGCUCGUGCCGUGAGGUGUUGGAUUAAGUUCCGCAACGAGCGCAACCCUCGUUGCUAGUUGCCAUCAUUAAGUUGGGCACUCUAGCGAGACUGCCAGCGUCAAGCUGGAGGAAGGUGGGGAUGACGUCAAAUCAUCAUGCCCCUUACAUCCUGGGCUACACACGUGCUACAAUGGCCGGUACAACAGGUUGCUACCUCGCGAGAGGAUGCGAAUCCCCAAAGCCGGUCUCAGUUCGGAUUGCAGGCU
rnacentral:rRNA from 1 species